AUCACGCAAAGGCAACUUCUGU
rnacentral:miRNA from 1 species